rnacentral:rRNA from 1 species
UACGUAGGGGGGCAAGCGUUGUCCGGAAUUAUUGGGCGUAAAGAGCGUGUAGGCGGUCCGGUAAGUCAGCUGUGAAAGUCAAGGGCUCAACCCUUGAAAGCCGGUUGAUACUGUCGGGCUAGAGUCCGGAAGAGGCGAGUGGAAUUCCCGGUGUAGCGGUGAAAUGCGCAGAUAUCGGGAGGAACACCAAUGGCGAAGGCAGCUCGCUGGGACGGUACUGACGCUGAGAC